AAUCUCUAUUUUCAUCUGCCAAUAAUUUUUCAACAUUAUCAGCUGCAACAAGAAUAUUUUUAGCUUUGACAUUAUCACUGUGUUUUCCCUUUUUCUUCUUACAAUGUUUACUUUUAUCUUUGUUGACUAAAGAAGCAGUGGAUACAUCAUCCUCAGAAGGAAUUACAAGAUCAACGUCUUCUUGAAAACCAAUGGCACCCAAACUCUCAGGGAGACUGGAUAUUUUCUGAGGUAAGGACGCAAUAGUUCUAAAACCAGGUGUCUCGAGAUCAUUUGACUGAGCUUUAGCAUCAAGAGGUGACAUUAAAACCAGUUCUAUACUAUUUUCAUUCAUAGCAGAUUCUUCGGCGACAGGUAUCACUUGCUCUUUUUUAAGAGGAAAUUCAGAAGUAGGUGUUUCUAAUUGCCUGCAAAUCUCUUUAUUGACCAUUUCUGAAACAGCAAGAGCAUUUUUAGUUUCAAGAGAAGAAACAGUUAUUGCGUCGGAUUUGUUUUUCAUGGGAAUAUCAGAAUCUCCAUUUUCAUCUGCCAAUGAUUUUUCAACAAUAUCAGCUGCAACAAGAAUAUUUUUAACCUCGACAUUAUCGCUGUGUUUUCCUUUCUUUUUCUUCUUACGACGUUUACUUCUGUCAUUAUUGGCUAAAGGAGCAGUGGAUACAUCAUCCUCAGAAGGAAUUACAAGAUCAACGUCUUCUUGAAAAUCAAUGGUACCCAAACUCUCAGGGAGACUGGAUAUUUUCUGAGGUAAGGACGCAAUAGUUCUAAAACCAGGUGUCUCGAGAUCAUUUGACUGAGCUUUAGCAUCAAGAGGUGACGUCAAAACCAGUUCUAUACUAUUUUCAUUCAUAGCAGAUUCUUCGGCGACAGGUAUCACUUGCUCUUUUUCAAGAGGAAAUUCAGAAGUAGGUGUUUCUAAUAGCCUGCAAAUCUCUUUAUUGACCUUUUCUGAAACAGCAAGAGCAUUUUUAGUUUCAAGAGAAAAAACAGUUAUUGUGUCGGAUUUGUUUUUCAUGGGAAUAUCAGAAUCUCCAUUUUCAUCUGCCAAUGAUUUUUCAACAUUAUCAGCUGCAACAAGAAUAUUUUUAACCUCGACAUUAUCGCUGUGUUUUCCUUUCUUUUUCUUCUUACGACGUUUACUUCUGUCAUUAUUGACUAAAGGAGCGGUGGAUACAUCAUCCUCAGAAGGAAUUACAAGAUCAACGUCUUCUUGAAAACCAAUGGUACCCAAACUCUCAGGGAGACUGGAUAUUUUCUGAGGUAAGGACGCAAUAGUUCUAAAACCAGGUGUCUCGAGAUCAUUUGACUGAGCUUUAGCAUCAAGAGGUGACGUCAAAACCAGUUUUAUACUAUUUUCAUUCAUAGCAGAUUCUUCGGCGACAGGUAUCACUUGCUCUUUCUCAAGAGGAAAUUCAGAAGUAGGUGUUUCUAAUUGCCUGCAAAUCUCUUUAUUGACCUUUUCUGAAAUAGCAAGAGCAUUUUUAGUUUCAAGAGAAGAAACAGUUAUUGUGUCGGAUUUGUUUUUAAUGGGAAUAUCAGAAUCUCCAUUUUCAUCUGCCAAUGAUUUUUCAACAUUAUCAGCUGCAACAAGAAUAUUUUUAACCUCGACAUUAUCGCUGUGUUUUCCUUUCUUUUUCUUCUUACGACGUUUACUUCUGUCAUUAUUGACUAAAGGAGCGGUGGAUACAUCAUCCUCAGAAGGAAUUACAAGAUCAACGUCUUCUUGAAAACCAAUGGCACCCAAAUUCUCAGGGAGACUGGAUAUUUUCUGAGGUAAGGACGCAAUAGUUCUAAAACCAGGUGUCUCGAGAUCAUUUGACUGAGCUUUAGCAUCAAGAGGUGACGUCAAAACCAGUUCCUUACUAUUUUCAUUCAUAGCAGAUUCUUCGGCGAAAGAUAUCACUUGCUCUUUUUCAAGAGGAAAUUCAGAAGUGGGUGUUUCUAAUUGCCUGCAAAUCUCUUUAUUGACCUUUUCUGAAACAGCAAG
rnacentral:lncRNA from 1 species